rnacentral:rRNA from 1 species
UACGUAGGGGGCAAGCGUUGUCCGGAAUCAUUGGGCGUAAAGCGCGUGUAGGCGGCUGGCUAAGUCCGCUCUGAAAGCCCGGGGCUCAACCCCGGGAGGCGGGUGGAUACUGGUCAGCCCGAGUCCGGAAGAGGAGUGUGGGAAUUCCUGGUGUAGCGGUGAAAUGCGUAGAUAUCUGGAGGAAUACCGGUGGCGAAGGCGGCAUCCUGGACCGACAUUGACGCUGAUGAGCGAGAGCUAGGGGAGCAAACGGGG